AGCUCAUGAAAAUUAUGUCUUCUGGUUGGUGUUGCCCACCUCAUACUAGCAAGGACAAAGCAAUCCCUUGUUUACCCCAGCUUGGCUUUUGGUCAGUGCCAUGCCUGGUUCAUGCCUUGGACACAUGG